CCACUUCCUGUCUUGGGGGAGAGUCACAAGGAACCCAGGUACUUAUGUAUAUGUGCUCUCAGGCACUUAAAGACACUGAAAUCUCAGCUUGAGGUAGAAUUAAACAGAUUUGUGCAGGGGAAUCCAUGCCUCAUACCGCUCUCCAGCCUGCUCUGGGUGCUCCUGGCCGUCACCUUCUCUGGAUCUGGUGUGGCCCAGAAAGUUACUCAAGACCAGCCAGACAUAACCCGUCAAGUGGAGCAGUCAGUCACUCUGAACUGUCAGUAUGAAGUCAGUUGGUACAUGAUCUUCUACUCCAUUUUUUGGUACAAGCAGCUUCCCAGUGGACAGAUGACUUACCUCAUUCGUCAGUAUUCAGACGAUGGGAAUGCAAGGGACGGCCGUUACUCUGUAAACUUCCAGAAAGCAGAUAACUCCAUCAGCUUCACCAUUUCAGCCUUACAGCUGGAAGAUACUGCAAAGUACUUCUGUGCUCUUCGUGAACUCACAGUGGUUGAAGUAAUGGGAAAAGCUGAACAAAAACCCCAGAGCUUAAUAAGAGAGAGCCUCCAUGCUUCAGGACUCCAGCUGAGAUGCACACCUGCAGAUCCCAGCAAGAAAUGGUAAUCGUGUGGUUGCUUCAUCUGUGGUCUGGAUCAUAGAAUUUAAUUCUAAGUAAAAGCUUCUUCCUUGUUAUUUGGUGUCCAGAGUAAUUUUCUACUGUUAACAUUCUCUUGUUGAAUUUUUGACUUUAAAUCAAUCAUACAGAACAUGUGUAAAGUUGUCUAAACUUG